CCUACGGGAGGCAGCAGUGAGGAAUAUUGGUCAAUGGACGAGAGUCUGAACCAGCCAAGUAGCGUGAAGGAUGACUGCCCUAUGGGUUGUAAACUUCUUUUAUAUGGGAAUAAAAUGUUCCACGUGUGGGCUUUUGUAUGUACCAUAUGAAUAAGGAUCGGCUAACUCCGUGCCAGCAGCCGCGGUAAUACGGAGGAUCCGAGCGUUAUCCGGAUUUAUUGGGUUUAAAGGGAGCGUAGGUGGAUUGUUAAGUCAGUUGUGAAAGUUUGCGGCUCAACCGUAAAAUUGCAGUUGAAACUGGCAGUCUUGAGUACAGUAGAGGUGGGCGGAAUGCGUGGUGUAGCGGUGAAAUGCUUAGAUAUCACGAAGAACUCCGAUUGCGAAGGCAGCUUACUAAACUGCCACUGACAUUGAUGCUCGAAAGUGUGGGUAUCAAACAGGAUUAGAUACCCCUGUAGUC
rnacentral:rRNA from 1 species